CUGCACAUUAUGCAACCACACCACGUGAGGAGCAUUAGAUGAUGACCUAUGUGAGCUCAUGCUUGGCUCAAAGCCACUAUUGUCUGUAAAAGGUAUAAUUACCCCGGUAAUGCUGCACAUAUGGCUCACUUGCACCCAGAGAGAGAGUAAAGCCAUGUCAAAACUGUCUACAAUUCCUCGAGUGUUUUUCCUGCUACCUGCCACUCACCCACCAACUCCCCUUGGACCUCAGUUAGAACCUGAGAAUUGGCAUAUCAAAUAGGAUCCUGAGAGUUGGAUGGGCAUUUUUGACUGCACUAGAAGAACUACACUUCCAGUCUCUGAGGGAUGCAGCACGUUGGUUGCAGGUGAGCGGGCAGUUGGCACAAGGGCAAGGUGACCACACCCUGAUUGAGUGGCUAUGGGCAGCCAUACGGACUAUGUGGGACGACACUGGUGAAAUACCUGAAACUAUUUAGAAGUGGUGGCAUCCCUCUUGUGGCGACAUUUGGCAGCAUGCAGUUGGGCCGUCAACAAAUCUAAGGUCCAAGGGCCUGCUUCAUUUGUCAAAUUCUUGGGAGUUAUCUGGUCGGGUUAACAUGCUCCAACUGCAUUGUGGACUGGGCCCACACCUAUGCUGAGAUGACCAAUGUUUCCAGCUGUUGGUUCUGUACCACCCUUCCAGCAGCAGCUGUGCCUUGGCACAUGCAUUCAGCAUCUGCAGAGAACUGGACAUGGCUGGAGACUUGGGGUUCCAUAACAAUGCCUGGAACAUGAUGCAGCAAGCUUUGGACAAAGGACACUGCAAGACCCACAGCACGCCUGCCCCCUGGCUGGCCCAUAGUGUUUAUGAUGGGUGGGGCUGGCUCGUGGGGGAACAUGUAGUACCCCCAGCCCAAGCACCGCAGUGCAUAGAGCAACACUGUGGUAACACCACUGUGUGGGAUGGAUACCCAUCGCAGCCUGUGUAAACAUAACACAUGUCAUCACACUGAACAUAUGGUGGAACAAGCAGUCCCACCAAGGUUGGUCCCUGAUGGAUUUUGUGCCCCCUUAGGAGUUUAUGGGUCUGUGAGGACACAGGGUGGCCUUACCUACCAGCAGACGUUGUACCUGGGGGUGACCUUAUGUACCUGCCACUGUUCUCCUCAUGUUGCCCAGAUGCCUGCAUAAAUGGGAGGUGCUAUGCUCUCAGCUUCUGCGAUUGUGAUGAGCCCCCUGGUGGUUCUACCCCUUGACAAUGACUAUCCCUGGAGCAGGUGUCAUAACUGUAGAAGUACAAGUUACUGUUCUUGCACAGCACACCACUCAGGUUCUGAAUUCCACCUGAGUGGCACUCCUCCUGUUAACGGAUGAGGUUGAUUAGAUCAGAAAGGUGGUGUUGCAAAACUAAAUGGCCUUAAACAUAGUAACUGCUGCCUAAGGAGGCACCUGUGCCCUUUUAGGAACACAAUGUUUUACCUUUAUCCCUAACAAUCAGCAGAACAUAAUAGCAGCCCUGCGAGUGGGUCAUGGGAGAUUAAGGCAGUCAAGAGCCUUGCUGAUGAACCCCUGCAGAGAGGGUGGGCAUCCCUAGGCUCUGGCCUAUGCUGGGCCCUAAUAGUCAUGAGUGGCAUAGCUGGGAUCCUAGUAGUGAGCUGUUCCUCUCUGUAUUGUUGUUGUGAGUUAUGGAUUCAGGACUCUGCCCUAUGGGUAUGUGUUCCUGCCCAGAGGGUGCCCCUGGCCUAGAGCGUGGAAAGUAAGGGAAAUGGCUGUGCUUUAGUCAGGAGUAGGCUGGGGUAGACUUCCAGCGCAGCAUGACUCAGCAGGUUUGGAGUGCAGGUGCACAACCCCGCACAUUUAUGUAACCAUGUCACGUGAGUCACAUUAGGUGAUCAACCACAUGAGCUCGUGCUUGGCUUGGAGCCACUAUUGUCUGUAAAAGGUAUAAUUACCCUGCUAAUGCUCUACAUAUGGCUUGCUCAUGCCCAGAGAGAGAGUAAAGCCAUGUUGAAACUGUCUACAAUUCCUUGAGUGUUUUUCCAGCUACCCGCCACUCACCCACUGACUCCCCUCGGACCUCAGUUAGAACCUGACAAUAGCUUUUAAAGAUAUAAUGAGAUUGCAUACUUAAUAGACUACAGUAUAGAAUAAAGAUAACUUUUAUAUGCAUUGGGAAAACAAAACAAAUCCUAUGGUUCACUUUAUUGCAACAUUUGCUUCACUGGGGUGGUCUGAAACCGAACCUGCAGUAUCUCUGAGGUAUGCCUGUAUAUGCCCUCACAGCAACCAAUAUGUACUACAUAUUAUAGCAUUUGUCAUAUAUAGUUACAACUGACUGCUUCUCUGUCUCCAUUAUCAUACUUGAUGUCCCUGGAUUGUAAGAGCUAUAUAUUUCCCCAGCAGUUUUCCUAUUGUACAUUACAGUGAAAUUUUACUGUACAAAUAAAUGAAUAACUACAUAUAAAGGUCUUUUUUCAAUGCCUAGGAAAGAGUAGGGGGUCAAUAUAUUUCAAUUCUUUAUCAAUUUUCUCAGUCUGUAGUGAAGAUGAUGGUGUUACAAUCUCCUAGUAGAGUUCCCUCUGCUUUUUAUUUUGACCUUUUGCAUGAAGUACCAGGCCAUUAGGUGAAUCUUUUUUACUUAGAUCUAAGCCAAUUUUUACUGCUGAGUUUCAGAACCCAAACCCCAAUAAUCUCCUCAUAAUAGGAGAUUAAGUCCCGAUUUCCAUUUCUGGGCCUUCUUUUAAAAAGUGAACACUAGAGAAAAACGUCCAUAACAAUAGUUCAAGACACAUUCUUCAGACACCACAAUGCCAUGAUGAUGUGGGUAAAUGAGAUUCUUCCAAUAAACAUGCUCAUGGCUAGAUAUUUGUUAAAUUUAAAAUAUUUUCCAGGCUGGGUGCAGUGGCUCAUUGUUGCAAUCUCAGCACUUUGGGAGGCUGAGGCAGGCAAAUUGCUUGAGCUCAGGAGUCUGAGACUAGCCUGGCUAACAUGGUGAGACCCUGUCUCUACAAAAAAUACAAAAAUUAGCUGGGCAUCAUGGUGCAUGCCUGCAGUCCCAGCUAUGUGGGAGGCAGAGGUAGGAAGAUUACCUGAGCCUGGGAGGUCGAGGCUGCAGUGAGCCAUGAUUGCACCAUUGCACUCCAGCCUGGGAGACAGAUCCACUUAAAGAUCCACUAACUUGCAGAGGUUUUCCAUAAAGAUACAUGAUAUCUGGUAUUUCACACCUAUUCAUAACUAGAAUAUGAGUCUGUAUCUUUCAGUGUUUCUUUUUUUCCUUUUGAGACAGGAUCUCACUCUUUUACCCAGGCUGGAGUGCAGUGGCAUGAUCUGGGUUCGCUGCAACCUUAACUUCUCCAGG
rnacentral:lncRNA from 10 species